AGUAUCGUAAACCAGAAAAGGAAAUCACCACUUUCCCCAAGACU
rnacentral:tRNA from 1 species